rnacentral:rRNA from 1 species
ACGAACGCUGGCGGCGUGCUUAACACAUGCAAGUCGAACGGAAAGGCCCCUUUGGGGGUACUCGAGUGGCGAACGGGUGAGUAACACGUGAGUAACCUGCCCUUGACUUCGGGAUAACUUCAGGAAACUGGGGCUAAUACCGGAUAGGAAUCCUUGCUGCAUGGUGGGGGUUGGAAAGCUUCGGCGGUUUUGGAUGGACUCGCGGCUUAUCAGCUUGUUGGUGGGGUAGUGGCUUACCAAGGCUUUGACGGGUAGCCGGCCUGAGAGGGCGACCGGCCACAUUGGGACUGAGAUACGGCCCAGACUCCUACGGGAGGCAGCAGUGGGGAAUAUUGCACGAUGGGCGGAAGCCUGAUGCAGCAACGCCGCGUGCGGGAUGACGGCCUUCGGGUUGUAAACCGCUUUCAGCAGGGGCGAAGCUUGUGGUGACGGUACCUGCAGAAGGAACACCGGCUAACUACGU